UACGUAGGGUGCAAGCGUUGUCCGGAAUUAUUGGGCGUAAAGAGCUCGUAGGCGGUUUGUCGCGUCUGCUGUGAAAACCCGAGGCUCAACCUCGGGCCUGCAGUGGGUACGGGCAGACUAGAGUGCGGUAGGGGAGAUUGGAAUUCCUGGUGUAGCGGUGGAAUGCGCAGAUAUCAGGAGGAACACCGGAUGGCGAAGGGCAGAUCUCUGGGCCGUUACUGGACGCUGAGGAGCGAAAGCGUGGGGAGCGAACAGG
rnacentral:rRNA from 1 species